rnacentral:rRNA from 1 species
CCCUUAGAUGUUCUGGGCCGCACGCGCGCUACACUGAUGCAUUCAACGAGUCUAAAACCUGCUCUGAUAGGGGUGGGUAAUCUUUUGAAUGUGCAUCGUGAUUGGGAUAGAUGAUUGCAAUUUUUCAUCUUCAACGAGGAAUGCCUAGUAAACGCAAGUCAUCAGCUUGCAUUGAUUACGUCCCUGCCCUUUGUACACACCGCCCGUCGCUCCUACCGAUUGAAUGAUCCGAUGAAUAUCAUGGAUUGAGGAUGCAAGCAGGUUCGCCUGUCUUCAUCUUCGAGAAGUGAAGUAAAUCUUAUCAUUUAGAGGAAGGAGCAGUCGUAACA